GAAAUGCAAUAAGUAAUGUGAAUUGCAGAAUUCAGUGAAUCAUCGAAUCUUUGAACACACAUUGCGCCCGCCAGUAUUCUGGCGGGCAUGCCUGUUCGAGCGUCAUUACAACCCUCAGGCCCCCGGGCCUGGCGUUGGGGAUCGGCGGAAGCCCCCUGCGGGCACAACGCCGUCCCCCAAAUACAGUGGCGGUCCCGCCGCAGCUUCCAUUGCGUAGUAGCUAACACCUCGCAACUGGAGAGCGGCGCGGCCACGCCGUAAAACACCCAACUUCUGAAUGUUGACCUCGAAUCAGGUAGGAAUACCCGCUGAACUUAAGC
rnacentral:misc_RNA from 1 species